UGUGCCCUUUUAAGGUUGACAUGGUACUUUAAGAGGCCAACACAGAAGGGUAAAGGAACGCUCCAUAAAACCCAGAGAAGAGACUGUGCAUCUCCUCUUUGGAUCCUGUCUGGAGUCACACUG
ensembl:snoRNA